rnacentral:rRNA from 1 species
GAUGAACGCUGGCGGCGUGCCUAACACAUGCAAGUCGAGCGACCGCACGAGAAGCUUGCGCCUCUGCUGUUAGCGGCGGACGGGCGAGUAACACGUGCAUAAGCUACCUCUAUGUCUGGGAUAAUUACGGGAAACCGCUGCUAAUACCGGAUAAUAUUUUGAACCGCAUGGUGCAAGAGUUAUUGACGGUUUUCCCGCCUCUUUUAGAUGGUUCCGCGCUGCAUUAGCUAGUUGGUAAGGUCACGGCUUACCAAGGCAACGAUGCAUAGCCGACCUGAGAGGGUGAUCGGCCACACUGGAACUGAGACACGGUCCAGACUCCUACGGGAGGCAGCAGUAGGGAAUCUUCCGCAAUGGGCGAAAGCCUGACGCAGCAACGCCGCGUGAGUGAUGAAGGUCUUCGGAUCGUAAAACUCUGUUAUUAGGAAAGAACAUACGUAGAAGUAACUGUGCACAUCUUGACGGUACCUAAACAAAAAGCCCCGGCUAACUACGUG